rnacentral:rRNA from 1 species
UACGUAGGAGGCGAGCGUUGUCCGGAGUUAUUGGGCGUAAAGCGCGUGUAGGCGGCUUUGCAAGUCGGGUGUGAAAUCCCUCAGCUUAACUGAGGAAGUGCGCCCGAAACUGCAGAGCUUGAGUGCCGGAGAGGAUGGCGGAAUUCCCCAAGUAGAGGUGAAAUUCGUAGAUAUGGGGAGGAACACCGGUGGCGAAGGCGGCCAUCUGGCCGGUAACUGACGCUGAGACGCGAAAGCAUGGGGAGCAAACAGG